rnacentral:rRNA from 1 species
AUUGAACGCUGGCGGCAGGCCUAACACAUGCAAGUCGAGCGAGCGGCGGACGGGUGAGUAAUGUAUGGGGAUCUGCCUGAUGGAGGGGGAUAACUACUGGAAACGGUAGCUAAUACCGCAUAACAUCAGAUGAACCCAUAUGGGAUUAGCUAGUAGGUGGGGUAACGGCGUACCUAGGCGACGAUCCCUCGCUGGUCUGAGAGGAUGGUCAGCAAUCCUAGGACUGAUACACGGCCCAGCAUCCUAGGGGAGGCAGCAGUGGGGAAUAUUGAACAAUGGGCGCAAGCCUGAUGCAGCCAUGCCGCGUUUAUGAAGAAGGCAUUCGGUUUGUAAAGUACUUUCAGUCGGGAGGCGUUACCUACAGAAGAAGCACCGGCUAACUCCGUGCCAGCAGCCGCGGUAAUAC